rnacentral:rRNA from 1 species
UGGGGAAUUUUGGACAAUGGGGGAAACCCUGAUCCAGCCAUCCCGCGUGUGCGAUGAAGGCCUUCGGGUUGUAAAGCACUUUUGGCAGGAAAGAAACGUCAUGGGUUAAUACCCCGUGAAACUGACGGUACCUGCAGAAUAAGCACCGGCUAACUACGUGCCAGCAGCCGCGGUAAUACGUAGGGUGCAAGCGUUAAUCGGAAUUACUGGGCGUAAAGCGUGCGCAGGCGGUUUGGAAAGAAAGAUGUGAAAUCCCAGAGCUCAACUUUGGAACUGCAUUUUAAACUACCGGGCUAGAGUGUGUCAGAGGGAGGUGGAAUUCCGCGUGUAGCAGUGAAAUGCGUAGAUAUGCGGAGGAACACCGAUGGCGAAGGCAGCCUCCUGGGAUAACACUGACGCUCAUGCACGAAAGCGUGGGGAGCAAACAGG